AGUAGUUCACUCCGGAAACGAUGUUUUAUUUGAAGGUUNGUGGCCNUGANCCGUUGCUUUUGGAAGCUAAACGCGUUAAAGUAGAACCGCCUGGGGAGGUACGGUCGCAAGAUUAAAACUCAAAUGAAUUGACGGGGGCCCGCACAAGCGGUGGAGCAUGUGGUUUAAUUCGAUGCAACGCGAAGAACCUUACCUACUCUUGACAUCUACAGAAGCCAGCGGAGACGCAGGUGUGCCUUCGGGAACUGUAAGACAGGUGCUGCAUGGCUGUCGUCAGCUCGUGUUGUGAAAUGUUGGGUUAAGUCCCGCAACGAGCGCAACCCUUAUCCUUGUUUGCCAGCACUUCGGGUGGGAACUCCAGGGAGACUGCCGGUGAUAAACCGGAGGAAGGUGGGGACGACGUCAAGUCAUCAUGGCCCUUACGAGUAGGGCUACACACGUGCUACAAUGGCGCAUACAGAGGGCGGCCAACUUGCGAAAGUGAGCGAAUCCCAAAAAGUGCGUCGUAGUCCGGAUUGGAGUCUGCAACUCGACUCCAUGAAGUCGGAAUCGCUAGUAAUCGUGGAUCAGAAUGCCACGGUGAAUACGUUCCCGGGCCUUGUACACACCGCCCGUCACACCAUGGGAGUGGGCUGCAAAAGAAGUGGGUAGUUUAACCUUCGGGAGGACGCUCACCACUUUGUGGUUCAUGACUGGGGUGAAGUCGUAACAAGGUAACCG
rnacentral:rRNA from 1 species